UCCAGGGAGAACUUCCUGGGGAAGCAGACCGCAGGCCCCAUCAGUGCCGCGUGCGGGUGGAGGGCAAAGGGGGGCUGCCACGUCCAAGCUCUGUGCCAGGCGCUGUGCCCACCUGGCUUCCCUCCUCAGGCCUCACCGCCAGCUCAGUAAUCUGAUCCCUGUGCCACAGGCAGGCCUGGCCCAGGGUCACCCGCUACUGUGACGACAGGUAAUGCAGGGAUGACCGUGUCAGCCAACCCCUCCCCGACCCGCCUAAAGGUCUGGGCCAGAUGGGAAGAAGCAGGCAGCCUUCAGAACCGCCGAUCGUGCCCCGGCCGGGCACCAGGGGAAACAGGCCAGCGUCAGUGCUGCCGAGGCAUGUUUAUUCACCAGCCCUCAGCGUGCGUCCCACCAGACCUGGGUCACCCCAGGAGGGAGGCCCUGCGGAGACCCCCAACACACGCAGCACGGGACACCCCUUUUCUCCUCCAGCCUGGGAACUGCUGAGCAAGCGAAGCCCACCCAGCCCGCAGGGCCCCACACUCUGGAAGGAAGUAACCAUUUGGUACCUAAUGUUGGAGCAGGUGGCCUCUGGCCUCUGGGAGCCCCACACCCUCCUGGGCCCGCCCGCCCCGGGCCCUCUCCCUCUCCUGCUGCGGGGCUCCCGCAGCCCGGCCUGCGCCUAGCGCCCCCACAGCCGUCCGUGGCUGCCCCCUCUGCCCACUUCAGCGGCUGCUGCCCCCUGGCUGGGCCUCCUGGGCCUCCAUUUCCCCACUGCCGCCCAACUCAUCUUCCACUCCCCAGCCUCUGCCCUUCUCCCUUGGAAUAAUCGCCCACCGCGCCCCAGACCCUCUCACUUCCCUGGCAUCCACUCACCCCUUCAAUGCCCUCAUCCUGGGGGCCUUCUGCCACUCGGAGCCCACCCGACAGUCCACAGACCGGAGGGGACUCCAGCACUCCGGCCGCCGUGCUGCCCAGUCUCCGCUGCCGCCUCCUGAGAGGGUCCUGACAGCUGUGUGCCCCCCACAGCCUCCUGCCCGCCCUGCCUUCCCCUUUGAGGACAUCCGAGGUCCUGGAGCAGCAGGUCCCUCCCUCCUCUGCCCUUCCCUGCUUGAUUCCAGAUUUGGGGCUUAGGAGAGCUGCAGAUCCCUUGUCAUGGGCCCUAAAUCCCUCCAUCUGCCUCUUCAGGCCCCAGUGUCAGCCACCUGCCCCCCCACACCGACUGACCUCAGGCCUCUCCCUCCCUCCACACCCCUGUCCCCUCUCUCCGGCGCCUCCUCACCCUGCACACCGGAACGGUCCCCGCUGCCCAGGCCUGGUGGGUAGGGCCCUCUCACUAGGUCUGUCCUCCCACACGCUCUCACUUCUGGUCCUUCUACAGCCAGUAAGUCUCCUCCCAGCAUCCCUGGAUGCUGCCCUGCUGCACUGUCUGAGGAGAUCUACCCCGUGGCUCCAACUACGAAUUCACCGAGAGCACAGUGGAAAUAACGGCCUCCGGUCUGACCCCUCACCUGAGCUCCAGAUCUGUGAGCCCAGUUACCCGGUGGUCACCUCCACCCGGGCAUCCUGCCAGCAUCUCCCACUCGGCACGUCCGUGACAAAAAUGAGCUCAGCCUCUCUGCGUCCCCACCAAGCCCUGCUGCCCUCACUCCUGCAUCCCCACCCCAUCCCUGGUGCCAGGAUUAAAGAACAUUUACUGCUCCUCCUGCCGGGCUCCUCAGCUCAAGGCAAUUAGUGAAGUUGAUUCAUCAGAAGUCAAUGUGCCAAAAACGACCAGUUCGCUUAAUGUGCUUGUUUUGCUUCAGCUAUUUAGAGGCAGUCAGUCAAUUAUAUCUUUAUCCUCAGAACCACAUUUUAAGGAAUGUUCAGUUCACCUAUGCCCUGCUCCCAACUAGUUGCAGCUUGAGACAGGAGCAGAGAGAGGGGAGCCUGAGGGGCACAGGAGGGGUACAGAGGAAGGUAUAUUAAAUAAGAAAACAGGGUAAGAAAAGAGGCUUCUUGGAGAUGAAGAAAAUAUCCAUAAGACAUCUUCAUAUUUAGGGAUCUAUUCCUCUUAGCCCUUAGCCCCUCCUCUCUAGCAACAGCAGCAUGGAGCAGGGAUAGAGAGAGAAUGAACAUCUUUUUAAAUGCAAUUUUGAUAACAAAAUGAAAACCAGUCAAUGAGAGCUGAACAGUUAUGAGAAGCAUUUAAAACUUGUGAACGGGCUUUUGGCGAGUUGGCCAAGCGCUUCCAACUCCCCUGCAGCUCUGACCACAGCUUGAAAACUACCACAACAACCAUUUCCCUCCUGCAGCUAGUGAUCUUUCUAGAACACAGAUCUGAUCAUGUCUGUCCCUUGCUCAAAGCUUUGGUGCUCCCGGUAUGCAGCCGAGCAGGAACUGCAGGGGGCAGCCUGCAGGUGAUCUGGCCGCCUCGCAUCUGGCUCCAGGUAUUCGUGUGCAAGGAGCAGGACCAGAUCUUUCGCCAAGGUGCUCCCAGUGGCGCUCCAUUGACUCCUGGGUGCUGCCCAGGGUGGGGCGGGGGAGACAGAUCCCAGGGUGAGGCUCUUGGAAGGCCCGCCUAUAGGAAUGAGUUUGUGGCCUGGCCCCAUUGUACCUGCUCCAGCCACAGGACAAGUUACCCCUUCCAAGUAUACCAUGCAUUUUAACCACUCCAACCUUUGCUUCUGCUUUUCUCUUUGCCUAAAUUCCCUUCUUCCACCCUUUCCACCUGGGAAACUCCUAUUCAUCCUUAAAGGCCCAGAUUAAAUAGAUUCUCCCAGUCAUUUCCCCUCCCCAUCCUGUAAACAAAGCAAAUCCUCCUUUCUCUGUGUCCCCACAGUCCUUUGCAUUAUCUUCAGAGCUCAUUCAUCAGACAGAUAUUUACUGAGCACCUACUGUAUGCCUAGCGCUGUUCUAGGUGCUGGGGCUAGGGCAUGGCCUAGACAAAGUCCCUACUUUCAGGGCCGGAUCCAUUUGCUCUUUUCCACAUCUUAGCACUGUAUCUGGUGCUCUGUAUGACCCUGCAGGAAUAAAGAAAGGGAUGGGCCAUGGAGAAGGCGGGUCAGGGCCAACCUCCAUGAAGCUCGAAUCAGACCAGGGACCUGGGCGUCAUGCACUGUAGAGGCUGCAGUCUCUAAGGCUCUGGGAGGCAGGACAGCCUCUCCACUCUUUCUGCAGCGACCCCACAGCACCAGCUUCCACAGAGUACGCGGUCAUACGGCCAUGAGGCCAGGCUCUUCUGGGGUUCAGGAGGGAGGGGCUAUGGGCUGCUCCCACCCCUGGCAAUAAAGAGGCUCUAGCUGCUCUCUGGACCCUCUGAUCCCAGGGGGAGGCUGUUUAGCAAACCAGACACAGAGAGUCUUGGGCCCUGCAUCCUCUUCUUGACCCCUCCACUGUGAGGCUAGACCUCUCUGGGCCUCGGCUUCCUCAUCCAAAAAUCGAGGCUAGGUUGGCCACAGAGUGAGGAUUUGUGAGACAUCCAACAACAGAUGGAACUUGCUGACCUUCCGACCCAGAUAAAGUAACCAGAGAUGAAGAUGGCAAGGGGGGAGGUGGGUGAGGAAGGUGGUGCUGACAGCAGGGGUGGAUGGGGUCUCACCUCUCCAGGCCCCCAUCCUCCAGGUCUCGGGACUCUGAAUUGGUCCAGGUAGAAAACUUCUCUAGGAUAUAGGCAGCCAGUCCCACGGGAGAGUCAUUCAGAGCACAGCCUGGCAUGGGAAGAAGCAAGGGAAUGACUCAGGCCUGGGCAGGGAGCUGGCCAGCAGGACAGAGGGGGUGCUGGCCCCACAGAGCGACACCACAGGCAGGAAGCCCGUGUCAGAGCACAGCUCUGCCCUAACUCUCGGGGCGCUCCUGCCCCUCGCUUCCUUGACCCUUGACCUUGGAAUCCUUAUCUGACAAAAGGGGUAACACCUCCCCUACUACCUCAUAGGGAUCCACACUCUAUACGGACAGCUUCCUUCAAGCCGAACAGGCUACAACUCUGGGUUUUGUGGGAUCCAAAUGAGAAAUACAUAUGAAUGCUCUUUUAAAAAAGUGGGGGUUUUUUGGUUUCUAUUCUAUGAGUAGUGAAAAAUGAGAAACAACCUAAAAGUCCAAAAUAUAGGGAAUGAGUUACAAAUACAUAUUGAUCUACCCAUAAGCUCAAAGCCUGAGCAAGCAUUAAAAAUGCCAUGGAUGGAUCUCACAAGCAAAAUACUGAGCAAAAGAAGCCAGAUGCAAAAGAGCACCUAUUCGAGGAUUCCAAUGCAUAUAAAGUAUAAAAACAGGCAAAAGCAAUCUAUCUGUCAGAGGUCAGGAGGGUGGCUGCCCUGGGUGUGGGGGGUAGUGCCCGGAAGAGGGCCCGGGGGGCUUCUGGGCUGGUGGGGUAUGCUCUGCUUCUUGAGUGAGUGCUGGUUAUAGGGACAGAUUCCAUUUGUGAAAAUUCAUCCACCAAAAUGUUAGUCAGUUCUUCCGAAGGCCUUGGAGAGGAGACGUAGCGAAGGACAAGAGGUUACAGGUGAUUGUCUUGUGUUUUAUGUUUUGCAUUUUUCAGUUUUUUCACAAUGAACAUGGAUUACUUGUAUAAUCAGAGGAAAACAACUGGUUUUAUAAAACACUGUUAUUAUUGUCAUGAGCUGACUAAUGUGGCAUGGGACUGCCACAGAAACUCUAGACUUGGAAAUGGGCAAAACAGCUCCUGGGUGUCCUCUGAAUGGGGUUCAGGGAUUUUCUAGUGGACCCUUCUGGGGUCAUAUGAUUGUUAAGGGCGACUCUCUUCUCUUGUCUUAGAGCUACUUUGCAGCUCUGUACAUUGUUGGAAACUGAUAGUAAUACAAAUGAUUCUUGUUCACAGAGAAGCAAAUGAAUUUUGUCCAGAGACUAGAUCCUAAAAGUUCUCAUCAUGAGACCCCUCCCUCCUCAGCCUCCUCAGGCUCUGAAGGAAGCUGUUCCAGCUGACUCGCCAGCCCUAGAGCAGCGACUCGGCUUGCAGCAGCCAUGUACCCUUCUUGGAGGAUGCCUCUGAGAAGCCGUAGCCAGGGAUG